UCAGGGUCAUAGAGUUUCAGUGAUCAAAACUGUAAUUUUCCAAUAUUAGAAUUUUCGGGAAACAAUGUUGGGAUAAAUUAGUAGAAAAUAGUAGUAAAAAAAGAGCCGUGUCAGUUUCUUGUAAUUCUUUUUUAUUUAUUUAUUAAGGGGGGUGUCACCUCAGACAUAUUGAUGUCUCCUCCCACCAUAGUUCUAUUUGUUCUUAAGGCUCUUUAGGGGGGAGUGACUAGUUGGCCACCAGCAAGGGCUGGGCCCGACUGGCCACUGUAGGCUUGUUGAGUCCCUAGAUUGUGCCUUCUCUUCUUGCAGGCGUUCCCCCCUGUCUGCAAGUUGGGAAUGGGUCGUUGACAUGAUUGUGUAAUGACUAUUUUGCCCCUGAAAUAAAAUAAGUAGCCCAUUCAGUAAAUCUCUGUGCUUGGUUGCUUGUUGAUGUGCUUGUAUUGCUAUAAUUGCCCGAUCAUGAUAUUUUUCAUAUGAUAACUGUGGUUUUUCCCCGUUUUUAUGAGAAUGGGGCAGGAGGUCCUAACAUUUACGUUCCUUUGUCCAGGUGAACGCGUAAGGAGCUUGGCUGACUUGGCUUGAAAAGAGUUCAAACCAAGUGCCAUACGGUUCCAGGCCAGUGUCAAAAUCUGAAACCGUGAC
rnacentral:lncRNA from 1 species